rnacentral:rRNA from 1 species
AAGAGACAGCAGUCGCCGCGGUAAUACGUAGGGUGCAAUCGUUAAUCGGAAUUACUGGGCGUAAAGCGUGCGCAGGCGGUUAUAUAAGACAGAUGUGAAAUCCCCGGGCUCAACCUGGGAACUGCAUUUGUGACUGUAUAGCUAGAGUACGGCAGAGGGGGAUAGAAUUCCGCGUGUAGCAGUGAAAUGCGUAGAUAUGCGGAGGAACACCGAUGGCGAAGGCAAUCCCCUGGGCCUGUACUGACGCUCAUGCACGAAAGCGUGGGGAGCAAACAGGAUUAGAUACCCCUGUAGUCCCUGUCUCUUAUAC